ACGCGACCCCAGGUCAAGCGGG
rnacentral:rRNA from 1 species